GAUGAACGCUAGCUACAGGCUUAACACAUGCAAGUCGAGGGACCGGCGCACGGGUGAGUAACGCGUAUCCAACCUGCCCAUCACUUGGGGAUAACCUUGCGAAAGUAAGACUAAUACCCAAUGGUGAUGGAUGGGGAUGCGUCUGAUUAGCUUGUUGGCGGGGUAACGGCCCACCAAGGCUACGAUCAGUAGGGGUUCUGAGAGGAAGGUCCCCCACAUUGGAACUAAGACACGGUCCAAACUCCUACGGGAGGCAGCAGUGAGGAAUAUUGGUCAAUGGGCGAGAGCCUGAACCAGCCAAGUAGCGUGCAGGAUGACGGCCUAUGGGUUGUAAACUGCUUUUAUAAGGGAAUAUUACCUUAUGAAUAAGGACCGGCUAAUUCCGUGCCAGCAGCCGCGGUAAUACGGAAGGUCCGGGCGUUAUCCGGAUUUAUUGGGUUUAAAGGGAGCGUAGGCCGGAGAUUAAGCGUGUUGUGAAUGUAGAUGCUCAACAUCUGCACUGCAGCGCGAACUGGUUUCCUUGAGUACGCACAAAGUGGGCGGAAUUCGUGGUGUAGCGGUGAAAUGCUUAGAUAUCACGAAGAACUCCGAUUGCGAAGGCAGCUCACUGGAGCGCAACUGACG
rnacentral:rRNA from 1 species